rnacentral:ncRNA from 1 species
GCCUAGAGGCCCGGGCAACCCGCUGAAACUCCUUCGUGCUGGGGAUUGGGGUUUGCAAUUAUCCCCCAUAAACGAGGAAUUCCUAGUAAGCGCGAGUCAUAAGCUCGCGUUGAUUACGUCCCUGCCCUUUGUACACACCGCCCGUCGCUACUACCGAUUGAAUGAUUUAGUGAGGUCUUCGGACCGACACGCGGUGGCUUCACGGCCGUCGGCGUUGUUGGGAAGUUGACCAAACUUGAUCAUUUAGAGGAAGUAAAAGUCGUAACAAGGUUUCCGUAGGGGAACCUGCGGAAGGAUCAUUA